rnacentral:rRNA from 1 species
AUUGAACGCUGGCGGCCGGCCUAACACAUGCAAGUCGAGCGAGCGGCGGACGGGUGAGUAAUGUAUGGGGACUGCCCGAUAGAGGGGGAUAACUACUGGAAACGGUGGCUAAUACCGCAUCCUAUCGGAUAACCCAUAUGGGAUUAGCUAGUAGGUGGGGUAAAGGCUCACCUAGGCGACGAUCGCUAGCUGGUCUGUGAGGAUGAUAAGCCACACUGGGAAGGAGACACGGCCCAGAAUCCGACGGAGGCAGCAGUGGGGAAUAUGGCACAAUGGGCGAAAGCCGGAUGCAGCCAUGCCGGGUGUAUGAAGAAGGCCUUAGGGUUGGAAAGUACUGUCAGCGGGGAGGCGUUACCAGCAGAAGAAGCACCGGCUAACUCCGUGCCAGCAGCCGCGGUAAUAC